GAGUUUGAUCCUGGCUCAGGAUGAACGCUGGCGGCGUGCUUAACACAUGCAAGUCGAACGAAACACUUUAUUUGAUUUCCUUCGGGACUGAUUAUUUUGUGACUGAGUGGCGGACGGGUGAGUAACGCGUGGGUAACCUGCCUUGUACAGGGGGAUAACAGUUGGAAACGGCUGCUAAUACCGCAUAAGCGCACGGCAUCGCAUGAUGCAGUGUGAAAAACUCCGGUGGUAUAAGAUGGACCCGCGUUGGAUUAGCUAGUUGGUGAGGUAACGGCCCACCAAGGCAACGAUCCAUAGCCGACCUGAGAGGGUGACCGGCCACAUUGGGACUGAGACACGGCCCAAACUCCUACGGGAGGCAGCAGUGGGGAAUAUUGCACAAUGGGCAAAAGCCUGAUGCAGCGACGCCGCGUGAGCGAAGAAGUAUUUCGGUAUGUAAAGCUCUAUCAGCAGGGAAGAUAAUGACGGUACCUGACUAAGAAGCACCGGCUAAAUACGUGCCAGCCGCCGCGGUAAUAC
rnacentral:rRNA from 1 species